GACGAACGCUGGCGGCGUGCUUAAUACAUGCAAGUCAACUGAACUUAAGGUAGCAAUAUUUUAAGGGAGGUGGCGCACGGGUGAGUAACACGUAGGUAAUCUGCCUUUAGGUCUGACACAACCUACCGAAAGGUAGGCUAAUAUCAGAUGAUGCAGCGGCUCGACAUCGAGACAGUUGUUAAAACCUUCGGGGCCGUAAAGAUGAGCCUGCGUCUGAUUAGGUAGUUGGCGGAGUAAUAGCCCACCCAAGCCUGCGAUCAGUAGCUGGUCUGAGAGGAUGAUCAGCCACACUGGAACUGAGACACGGUCCAGACUCCUACGGGAGGCAGCAGUAAGGAAUAUUGCUCAAUGGCCGAAAGGACUGAAGCAGCAACGCCGCGUGGAGGAUGA
rnacentral:rRNA from 1 species